rnacentral:lncRNA from 1 species
UAAAUCUACUAUAGGAAUUAUUUGGAAUUAUUUAGGAUUUGGUUAGGAUAUGUUUGGAACUUGAUUAGGAUUUGAUUAGGAUUUAUUUAAGAUUUGAUAAGGAUUUGGAUAAGAUUUGUUUAGGAUUUGAUUAGGAUUUUAUUAGGAUUUAUUAGGAUUUGACUAGGAUUUGGUUAAGGAUUUGACUAAGAUUUAGUUAAGGAUUUGAUUAAGAUUUGGUUAAGGAUUUGACUAGGAUUUAAUUAAGAUUUUUAUUUUAAUGUUUUAUUAAGAUUUCUAUUUUAGUAUAUUUUUGAAUUUGUAUAUUAUUUCUUUAUGAUUUCUAUAAAAGAUCUUUAGAA